UACAGAGGUGCCGAGCGUUAGGCGGAAUCACUGGGCUUAAAGCGUGUGUAGGCGGACUUCUAAGUACCUUGUGAAAUCCCACGGCUCAACCGUGGAACUGCUUGGUAUACUGGUCGUCUUGAGCCAUCUAGGGGCUGUCGGAACAAAUGGUGGAGCGGUGAAAUGCGUAGAUAUCAUUUGGAACGCCAAAGGUGAAAACAGACAGCUGGGGAUGUGCUGACGCUGAGACACGAAAGCCAGGGGAGCGAACGGG
rnacentral:rRNA from 1 species